rnacentral:rRNA from 1 species
AUGAUUUAUUAAAUAGCCGCGGUAUUUUAACCGUGCAAAGGUAGCAUAAUCAUUUGUCUUUUAAUUGAAGGCUGGAAUGAAUGGUUGGACGAGAAGUAUUCUUUCUUUAUUUUAUUAAAAUGAAUUUAAUUUUUUAGUUAAAAAGCUAAAAUUUAUUUAUGGGACGAGAAGACCCUAUAGAACUUUAUUUAAUUCAAUUUAAUUUUUUGUUAGUUAAUAUUAAAAAUUUAUUUUAAAUUAAAUUUUAUUGGGGUGAUAGGAAAAUUGUUAUAACUUUUCUUUAUUAAAAUUCACAAAUUAGUGAUUAAUUGAUCCAAAAGUUUUGAUUAAAAGUUUAAGUUACCUUAGGGAUAACAGCGUUAUUUAAUUGGAGAGUUCAUAUCGAUAAUUAAGUUUGCGACCUCGAUGUUGAAUUAAGAUUAGUUUUGGGUGUAAUAGUUCAUU